rnacentral:misc_RNA from 1 species
GAUGAAGAACGUAGCGAAAUGCGAUAAGUAAUGUGAAUUGCAGAAUUCAGUGAAUCAUCGAAUCUUUGAACGCACAUUGCGCACGCCAGUAUUCUGGCGGGCAUGCCUGUUCGAGCGUCAUUUCAACCAUCAAGCCCCAGGCUUGUGUUGGAGCCCUGCGGCUGCCGCAGCCUCCCAAAACCAGUGGCGGGCUCGCUAUCACACCGAGUGCAGUAGUUUACUCUUCGCUCAGGGCGUGUGGCGGGUGCUAGCCGUAAAACCCCCAACUUCUCAAGGUUGACCUCGGAUCAGGUAGGAAUACCCGCUGAACUUAAGCAUAUCAAUAAGCGGAGGA